AGCAAUUAGGCAAAAUGAAAGCCAUGGUGAACACACUUUGAAAUCCUCAGAGACAUAAUUGUACAGAAUUCCGAGUAAUUUGGCACAAAAGGGUCAGAAAGCACCCGCGGGUCUCGAACCCCAGAUGGGACUAAUUCAGAACAAUUGAAGAGUUGCGAAGUAACCGCUUGAGCUAAAGCUGACCCCGGAAACGGCAGGCGAUCGCAGCCUCUCAACACGACAGGGAGUGACGUGGCGGGGCGGGCUGCGUCUGCUCCACGCCUCCGAGCCCUCUGCCUCGCCCCGCCGCCCGCCCUGCUCCGUGUCCCGAGAGCCAGUCCGCGGCUCGAGGAAUGCCUUUCUUUCCCUCGCCGGCGUCCUGCGCACCGAACCGCGGAAAGCGUGGAAAGGGAAGAAUCCCCUGCGCGAGCGGAGGGCCCAGGGCGUGAGUGAGCACAUCAGCGCCGCCGGCCUGGGUCAGGCAGCCAUAAGGCCGAGAUGUCCUCUCUUUCUACAAGCUUUUCAGGGUGUCCCAGAGCAGACCGGGGGAGCCCAAGACCCUUCAUAAAACCGCCCACGAGCAGCCUGUGAGCCGGCCAAGGGCUGAGGCCAGCUCGUUUCAUCUCUGUGCUGGGCCCUGGGGACUCAGGGCUCCUGAUCAGCAAAUGAUUUUUAGAUGGGGAGGUGAGUGAAUUAAUGAACGAUUAUCAGGACCCUGGGCCCAGGAUGAAGCCCGCAGCCCAAGACUUUAGAGCCUCAUAGUUCACGAGAAUCUCCCUGUCAAGGGUAAAGUAAGGUGAGACCAGCCAGAAGGACCUAGAGGGUAGAGGACUUGUCUUCCACACCUACAGUUUUUGGAUGAGGAUGGGACGAAACUUAACUGGCUGAACGCUGCUCACUCCUGGACUGCUGAAGCGGAGAGAUCCUGGACCCCUGACAAGAGCCAGCAGGAGGUAGGAGUUCUUACCAUGUCAGUCUCCCGGAUCUCUGCCUGCAGGGUCCGAUGGAAGCGAGAGUGAGAGAUUCAUGGAAAGGACUCUGACACUUACUCUAGAAUACAGGUUUCUGAAACUUUCAGAUCAUAAAACUGAACUGUGUAAGAAAUUACAGAACUCUAAUGGAGAUGACUUCAUGAAACUGCUAAUAAAAGAUCAAGAUCAAGAGUUGAUUAUAUGGGACUGAAUGAACUGAUGAAGAUCAUUAUAAUUUUUAUGAUUUUUCAUUUGAAAUAUUGCUGACUUUUUUAAUGUUUUGUUUUUUCAGAUUUAAGGAAAACUUUUUCUCUUUUCUCUUAAGCUAACUAUGCUUAUAGCAAUUUGGUAAAUUAUAGCUUUGUAAAUAGAAUUGAAACAUUUAUCUUUUUCCCCCUACCUGAUCCCUCCAGAAUUUGGAAACUCUUAGCAAGUGAAUAUUCUUCUUUUCAUGACAAUAUAGUUAUUUGCAUAAGUUCAAUAAUAAUCUGUUCUCCUUAUAGCAGGACACAAUUAGAAACAUUGGUUAUAUUACCAAAGCUUUGACUGGAAUAUCAUAUUUGAGAAAAACAUACAUAGACUCAGAUAUGACCAGACAGCUUUUGAGGAACAAAGAUUGGACUCUAUGGAAUAAAGCCACUUGGAAAUAUUGGCCUGGUAUCUUGUUUACAGGGUUCCCAGCAACCCUGCCAGGUAAGUAAAGAAGGUCACUUCUCUGGCAGGUGCAAAGAACCCCAAGAUAUUUUGGGAACCUUAAGAAAAGAGAGGGUUCACCCAAAUCUAUAAUUAUUAAAGGCAGAGUCUGAUGACAAGUCCUUGGCUUGGUUUUCCUGACCUCAAGAGGCCUAUAAAGUUCAAUCUGAGAUUCCUUAUAAAAAGUUCCAGGAAGGCAAAUUUUAAAAAGCCUAUAUGAUCAGUUGCUAUUCUUACUGUAUUUUUGUAAGUAAUUGGGCCAAGUUUAUUGAAACUAAACUUAUUUUGCCAACCAAUGAGUCUUAAUUUGGCUAUCUUUAGUAAAAAUAAAGGUGAUUUUAGAAAGAAAAAUUAUGUUUCAGUAGAAAACUAUAAUAUGCAUUUGUAAAUAUUAGAUUCUAGUUCUGUUAAUUGUCUUUGAGGUUUUUGUUUUAUGCCUAUAAACUGGACUGGAUCCUCAAUUCUUCUAGUCUCCUGAAAUAUCUGGCUACAAUCGCUGAACUAAUGUUUUUAAUUUUUUCCAUCAUUUUCUUUGGGAAUCAUUGAGAACUGAAACCACCCCUGUUCCUGAAGCCCUGCAAACUGAGGCUGGAAAACUUGAUACAAACUUUGUAGAGAUCAUCAAGAUAGCAUGCCUGUUGCUAGAUAAGUGACUCAAAAGGAUACCUGAACACCCCAUGACAUCAUCAGAGACAUUUCCAACUGCAAAAGAUGCUUCAACCCUGACAUCUAGAAAUCUUCUUGACUGACUAUCUUCUGGGCUCAGAAAUAGUGUACAAUUUGCUCCAACCAUUAACUUUGUUUUUCUGUUUGUUUCCAUAGAAAUACUUCUUAUUAAAUACCUGAUUACUUGCUUACAUAACAGAAGCCUAACCUUGGGUGCCCACCUGCAUCACUGCCCCUGAUGAAUUUAACUGGACUGACCUGUUGCCAGAAGUAAGAGACUGGUUCAGUGAGAUGAAACAAUCUACCAACUGAGCUUCUGGACUGUGAAACUUAAAGUUUGAAAGGCGAGCCUAUAGGAGAUCAGAAUUGGCCACCCCAAAAUGUGUCUCUUUACCUUGAUUAUUUUUAAAGGCAAAAGACUCUGAAAGAAACUUUGCCCUUCCCCCUAACUACCUAAAAGAAUUUAAGAUAGAAGACUUGUUCCAGGAAGGAGCUAAUACCAUAAGAUAACUAUACUAUAAUGUAAAAUAGGUGUGAUAGACAAAAAGGCACCAACAAGCUCAUUUUUAUCAAAGUUCUGUAUCUCGGGUCAUGUUGUCUAUAGCCGGCCCAGUAAACACUUGUUUAACAAACAUUUGCUUUUCCAUCUCCAUGUAAAUUGCCUUCCUCUCCUGUGAAGUCCCCAACCAGUACCCCCAACAUCCUUCUAUGUCUUUAGCUGAAGAUGAUAUUUAAGGUGGUGGCUUUGGCAAUUCUGGCAAGUUACUCAGCUUUCCUGGGUUUCUCCCGUGUAUACAUGUUAUAUAGCUUUGUUUGAUUUUCUCCUGUUAUUCUGUUUCAUGUCAAUUUAAUUCUUAGACCAACCAGAAGGACCUAGAGGGUAGACGAAUUGUCUUCCUCCCCUACAUUUCCAAGUGUGGUAGAGCACAGUGUCAUGAGACAUGUCGAAUACUGUGUCUACUGGGGCAAGGGAAAGAAAAGAAAAAAUAAACAAAUGGGACUACAUCAGACUAAAAGGAUUCUGCAAGGCAAAGGAAACUAUCAACAAAACAAAAAGAUAACGCACCAACUGGGAGAGAGUAUUAGCAAAUCACAAAACCUUUUAGAAGCAGUUUUCUCUGGCUGAUGACAGAAGAGGAAGUCAGAGAGCAUUGAAGCCUGAGAAGAACUGGAUGCAAAUUUGCUGGUUUGAAAAUAGAGGAGGCUGGGUGAGAAGGAAUGCAAGCCCUCUAGGAGCAGAGAGCAGAUCCUCCCAAGCCCAGACCCCCACAGCCAGCAAGGAAAUGGGAA